rnacentral:lncRNA from 1 species
UUUCUUGCCACUGUCAGGCUUACUCCUGCCUCCUAGACUGAGGAAAGAAAAGCCUCCUGGUUUGGAGCUCAUAAUCAAGUCAGCCUUGCUGCAGGGCUCAUUUUAAGCCAGUAUCCUGGACCAGAUAAGGAAGCUGAAGCUUUGAGAAUUUAAUUUGCUCAAGGGGAGGCCAGGACAAGAAAUAAUGAAGAGUCCGAUGUGGCAGGAAUGUAGGAAACAAGUCAAUGAUGGAAGAUAAAUAUGGAGACGUGAUGAAGGCAAAAUUCUGAAGGGUCUUAGAGCCCAUUAUAAGACGUUUGGUUUUUAUGAUCAGAUCAAGUGCUCAGUUGGUUCUUCCUCCCUGUGUCCCCCAAACCAUCCAGGAGCAGGGGCUUGAAAGAUUUACAACACUUUACACUACUUCAACAGCUAUUUUAGUCCUUAGAUUUUAUUGCCCCAACCAUGGUCUCCUUGGGAACAGACUGAAUCUGGAUCCAGAAGUGGCUGCUGAGGGAGAAGGUAGACAAGGUAGACCAAGAGCAACUAAGUUACGAAAGCAUUUCAAGGAUGGAGUGAUCAACUGGACCAAAUGACACUGAGAGAUUAAGAAAAGAUGUAAUUCACAUUGGAUUGGUGGUAUGAUGGUUAUUCAGGGAAAGGUCAAGAUGAUUAUUGUGAAAAGUUUGGGAAUUUUUUUUUACUUUAAGUUCUGGGAUACAUAUGCAGAAUGUGCAGGUUUGUUACAUAGGUAUACAGGUGCCAUGAUGGUUUCUGCACCUAUCAACCCGUCAUCUAGGUUUUAAGCCCCACAUUAUUAGCUAUUUAUCCUGAUGCUAUCCCUCCCCUUGUCCCUCACCCUGCAACAGGCCCCGGUGUGUGAUAUUCCCCUCCCUGUGUCCAUGUGUUCUCACUGUUCAACUCCCACUUAUGAGUGAGAACAUGCAGUGUUUGGUUUUCUGUUCCUGUGUUAGUUUGCUGAGAAUGAUGGUUUCCAGCUUCAUCCAUGUCCCUGCAAAGGACAUGAACUCAUUCCUAUUUACGGCUGCAUAGUAUUCCAUGGUGUAUCUGUGCCACAUUUUCUUUAUCCGGUCUAUCAUUGAUGGGCAUUUGGGUUGGUUCCAUAACUAAAGGAAAAAGUGGACUCAUAAGAGAAGUUAAUUUUAAAAUAGAAAACUGGAAUGUUUGCCUGCUGAUGGGAGUGAUCCAAUAGAGAAAAUUAGUGCAAAAAAUGUGGAUAAACAAAAGCACUUAUACAUCAGGUAUAUAAGAUUGUUCUGUUCAAUGAUGUUUUGCUAUAACCUCGAUGAGAAAAAAAAAUCAAUUCCCCAGCCAUGGCCAUUUUCUGUGUGAAGUUUGCGUGUUCUCUUCAUGUCUGCAUUGGUUUCCUCCCACAUCCCAAAGCCGUGCCACUGGCAUCCCAUUGGCAUGUCUGAAUUGUCCCAGUAUGAGUGGUGUGGGUGUGUGUGAGGGUUCUCUGCGAUGAGAUGGCAUCCUGUUCGGGACUGGUUCUUACCUGAACCUCCAGGACAGGCUCCACAGUAGGUCACCACCUACAAUCUUGAACUGGAACAGUUGGGCAAGUAAUUAUCUGACUUGUUUGUAUUAAUCUUUCUUAAAAGUGUAGCUCACAUUUAUUUCAUUGUUUAAUAUUGGAAGUGUUUUGGUCUUUAUUUUGAAGGUUGGGUGAUGAUUUUGUGACCAGAAAUAUGCUGUAGGAAAUUAACUCUAGUUUAUUUCAAUUAGCCUAUGUUAAGUUGAUUUCCUUUUACAUCGUUUCACUUACAAUCGUAGCUUCCAAGAACCUAUCAAUGACAUUAAGUGAAGACUAUUUGUAUAUGCCGAGUUGUCAGUCUCUGCCGAUAGAAUAGGGGAAGGAAGUUAAGGAAUGAAGCCCACAAAUUCCUUCUUCAUCUCUCAAACUUGAGAAAGGGCUGCCCAUUAGUCCUCCUUGAUCAACUAAGUUUGAACUGUCUGCAAUAUCCUUGCCCUAUUCGACCCCCAGUAUGAACUAAGUGGAUAUGUAAGAUCUUACCUAUUUUUUCUGUGCCUGUUCAUUUUGUCUCAAAACAAAAACAAAGUGAAGGCUCAUUAAUGAGAAAUCAAUGAAACAAUAAUUGAUCACACACCUUUAACAGCUGCCUCCUCUUAACAAAUCAUCAUAUAUCUAACCCCAAGCCCAAACCACCACCACCGCAUAUGGCUCUGUUAUCCCUGUGUAGGUUCCUAGGCUAUAGGUCUCGGGUCUCCUAAGUCCAGCCCAUUCUAUGACCUUUUCAUUUCCACCUAUGUGACAAUAUAGAGUAGAUGCCUCUAUUCCCAACUUGGAAGUAAAGAAAAUCCUGAAAUGCCAGAAUUGAUAAGAGAGAUAUGAUAAAAGCAAUUUAAAGCAAAAUUUCAGAAGAAGAGAAAAGAACUUGGCUAAAACCUAAUUAGUAAUUUCAACAUUAUUUCAAAAAAAGAAUGUGAUACAAUUCCCAGACAGUGUGUGCCAUGGAACCCUGGGAAGGCACAGCAAACUCAUAUGGGUGCAGAGGGGUAUUUUAAAUUUUAGAGGAAACCAGCAAUUUGUCAGAAACAAUGUCAACUGCUAGUUCCUGGAGAUCCACACUUUCAACAAUAAACAUUGCUACAUUCUUUUUGAUGAUGUCAUAUCUUUGCAAACUUGGUUUUUAUGCAGUAGCUCUGAUAAAAAACAAUUGCUUUGUGAAAAUCACUGUGGGACAGAAAAUGAGAGUGGCAGUGUCCAAUCUGAUUCUGAGGUUUGAGAAAGUGCACGGUAUCCAACAGAUACACACAUUCUAUUAGCGUGUAAUUGAGGUCAUUUAAAAAUGAAAUACAUUUUUUUUUUCAAAAAAAAAAAGAAAAGUAUGUGAUCAUCAAAAAGAGGGUUACUGUCUCUGGGGCAUGGAACCAUGGAAGUCAAUGGGUAAAUGUUAGUGUUUGUUCCAUAAUGGGACCAAGGAAUCCAGCCAUUCAGUCCUGACAGCUGGUAUAUCCCUAAGGUAGAGCUGAGCAUUUAGCCAUCUUAGCCUGACAUCAUUAAAGACUUGAGCCACACUCUGUACCCAAUAAAUACAUCAUAAAUCCCGUCAUAAAUCAACUUCUCAUGUUAAUUUAUCUGCAGAAGACAAUACUGUUCUCAGAGUAAGAUAGGAUUUUCUACCACUGGCAUUAUGAAUUAACUAAUUGUCGUUCUUAUUUAUAUGUCCAUGCCCUAUGAGCUGGAUUAGAGUGAGAUUUGCCCUGUGGGAUGGUACACUGCACCCCAGAGCAUUGACAUAAUCAGUUGGCUACAUUUACGGAGUUCAGGGUCAAGGAACAGAACUUCUGGGCUUGGGAAAGUAAUAUACUGCAUGUAUAUGUGUGUGUAUAUAUAUAUGUGUGUAUGCAUGUAUAUAUUUAUGUUGUUACGUGUGUGUAUAUAUAUAUAUGUUGUUACGCAUAUAUAUGUAUGUAUGUGUGUGUGUAUAUAUAUAUAUGUUGUUACGUAUAAGAGACCACCUGAGAAGGCUUAGUGUGAGCAACAAGGCUGUUUAUUCACUUGGGUGCAAGUGGGCUGAGUCCGAGAAAGGAGUCAUCGAAGGGUCGUGGGAUUAUCAUUGGUUCUUACAGGUUUGGGAUAGGCGGUGGAGUUAGAAGCAAUUUUUUUUGUGGGCAGGGGAUGGAUGUUACAAAGUACAUUCUCAAGGGCACGGAGGAUGUUACAAACUACAUUCACAAGGGCAGGGAGGGUGUAUUGUCACAAGGGUGGGGAGGAAUGUUACACAGUACAUUCACAAGGGCGCAGGAACGUCACGAUGGCUUGAUUGUGGUGCGGCCAGCUCAGAGGACCUUACAUAUAUGUGUGAGUGUAUGUAUAUAUAUGUGUGUGUGUAUGUGUGUUUUGUGUGUGUUUAUAUAUGUGUGUGUGUAUAUACACACAUAAAACACACACACUAAACACACACAUACCUGUAACACAUACAAAAAUACAUAUAUACACAUACAUACAUAUAAAUAUAUACACACAUAUUAAAGUGCCUAAUACUUCUGCACAGUCUGAGAGAGAGUUUUUUCCCAAGUAUACCAGUGUCGGACUAUUUUGAUAAUCUGUACUUUGCAGAGUGGUCCAUUUAAUCCUCAUGUAAUUCUGUAAAGUAGGCACCAGACACAUUUUACAGAUGUGAUGAGAAGUAAUGCAAUUUGCACAAAAUUAUAAGAUGUAUAUAUGAUAUACCCAGUUUUCCUGGCUACCAUUUCCUUUGUAAAUGAAAUAAAUCAUUUAGCCCAACAGGAUUCAGUUUCAAGCCUGUGUUUCCUUAAAACACAUGCAUACACACUCUAGCAAAUAAAGAAAUUAAAUAAAAUUCCAGCCUCUGUUCACUUAAAUAAUAUUAAAGGAAAUCUAAUUUAUGACUCAUGGAGACACUACUAAAAUAUAAAGCUCUUUCCCCUUCUAACCAAUUCUCUCACACUCCAGUUUUCUCCCUAACUUUCCUCUUCCUCAUUUCUCACACUCUGCACAGCAGGUAUCGUUUUUCCACCUUCCCUAGUCUAUAGCCACUUUCCUACUGGAAGUGGCCCCUUGCAAUUCUGCUCUUACUCACCAGCCAUGCUGGGUCCCUCUGGAAGCUCCAAGCCCGGUCCCCACUGACUCCUCACAGACAGAAGACCUCUGAACAGCCUCAGCAGUCUAGUUCUCUCAAGCUGACCACUUUUCUACCAGAAAUCCUCGUGGAGAAUUUUCAAUAAGUAAUAAUAUCUACCUUGUUACACAUUUGAUCAUUCACGUAUGCUUUCAUUCAUUCAUCCGUAGCAUGGAGAAAAAUAAAAGUUGCUUUAAAAACCAAAAACAGAUUUCCUUUUAAAGGAAAAGCAAAUGAACUUUAUUUAGAAAAAUACAGUAUGUUGGGCCAUUUUGGUUGAAGGAAAAUAGUCCUGAUGUGGG